AUGCACGCUGGCGGCGUGCCUAAUACAUGCAAGUCGAGCGAACAGAUAAGGAGCUUGCUCCUUUGACGUUAGCGGCGGACGGGUGAGUAACACGUGGAUAACCUACCUAUAAGACUGGGAUAACUUCGGGAAACCGGAGCUAAUACCGGAUAACAUAUUGAACCGCAUGGUUCAAUAGUGAAAGGCGGCUUUGCUGUCACUUAUAGAUGGAUCCGCGCCGUAUUAGCUAGUUGGUAAGGUAACGGCUUACCAAGGCAACGAUACGUAGCCGACCUGAGAGGGUGAUCGGCCACACUGGAACUGAGACACGGUCCAGACUCCUACGGGAGGCAGCAGUAGGGAAUCUUCCGCAAUGGGCGAAAGCCUGACGGAGCAACGCCGCGCGAGUGAUGAAGGUCUUCGGAUCGUAAAACUCUGUUAUCAGGGAAGAACAAAUGUGUAAGUAACUGUGCACAUCUUGACGGUACCUGAUCAGAAAGCCACGGCUAACUACGUG
rnacentral:rRNA from 1 species